rnacentral:lncRNA from 1 species
GUGUGUCCCACAGUAUCUUGACAUACAUGACUCACCUCACCAGGUGGCUACUCCAGCCUCAGUGCCCAAGCAGAAGCCUAGGCCCCAGACUACUCCCCACUCUAAGAUCUAGGCUUUUUAUGACUGGUCAUUGCAUGGCCUUAGGAGCUGCCUUACAUCCUUCCUGUGCCAGAUGGGCAUAAGUAAGUCCCUCACUUGAUGAAUGAGAAGACCAUGCCCAGAGCCCCCAGGAGUCACUAUGGUAUGCAAUGGUAAAGCCAGGAUACCAGCAUGCUGCCCCUGCUACCCUCCCCACAGAGGCCCCAGCACUAGAUCCCUGCCUGUGGGAGAGUAGAUGGGAGGUGAAACUUCCACAAGGCUUCAAUGGCUCA